UCGAAAUACGAGGAUUUGAUUUCAUCCCGAAUCGACCAAGGGUCGUGUUGGUGCACUUUGGAAAAACCAAAGAUAUUAAAAUCACCAAAAGUGCAUUGGAAACGAGUCCACGAGAGCAAAUAGUGCGAAAUCUAUACUGGAGCAAAACUGCUCUCGGGGACCAGUCCCUGGCAGGGAGAGACCGGUCCCAUCGGCUGGUGUUGCGGGGGUUGCUUGAGGCAACCGGUCCCUGGCAGUGAGGGACCGGUUCCCGAACGCGAUCCCAGCGCGAAAAGCCAAAAAUUGGCUAAGUCCUGAAGUCCCAGCUCUCGGGAACCGGUCUCUCAGGAAGGAACCGGUCUCCCGAGGACCGGUCUCUCUGGGAGAGACCGGUACCCGAACGCGUGACCCGAGCUGAAGCUCUCGGGGACCGGUCCCAAGUCGGGGAGACCGGUCCCUCCGCGCGCAGAACGCCCAGUAAGGGCAGUGCGCAGAGUGAAAAGGUGAGGGGCUUACUUGGAUAUUGUUACAAUAUGAGGCAUGGGGGACCCCCUCUCUCUCCCUCAGCCCUCAUUUCCCUCUCUCCCUCACACAUUCUCUUGCUUUCUCUCUCUAGAAAAGAAGGAGAAAAGAAGAAGAAGAAGAAGAAAGGAGAAGGAAAGAAGGAAGAAAAGGAAGGAGAAGAAGAAGGAGAUCAACAAAAGGAAGCUUUUGGACUUCCCCCUCAUCCUCUCUUCCCUCUUUUAAGCUAACCUAGAGGUAAGCUUCUAACCCUAGCUUGUGAGAUUUGGGGUU
rnacentral:lncRNA from 1 species